GUGAAGGACGGUUGGAAUUUUACUCUGGGUUUCUUCAGAUAAGCAUAAGAGUCUUCAUCACAUAAGUAAAAACUUUAAAAAGAUUUUAUCACAAAUGUGAUUUACAACUGAAUGUAAAGCUAAAACAACACAUGCGUGAUCAAUAUGUUUCUAAAAUAAAUGAAAUGUUCGAGAUUAAAAGGAAAUGUGUGAGAUUUAAAGGCGAUGUGAGAUAAUAAAAGGAAAUGUCGAAGAUGGACAGGAGAGACUAUUGCUGAAACAACGACUGCGACACCCGACAUACCUUGUGGAAACCAUACUUGUUAUGGUCCUUACACCGCAAAGUGCAAUCUUACAGAUGAAGAACCUUGUGACUGCAAAGCUGGUUUCGCUGGUGAUAGAUGCGAAACUGACUUGGAUGAGUGCAAAAAAGGCCGCCCUUGUAGAAACAGAGGACCAUGCACCAACACAGUAGGAAGCUUCAGUUGUGUAUGUCUCCAAGGAUGGGUUGGUGACCACUGUGAAAAUGAAACG